rnacentral:misc_RNA from 1 species
AAAAAAAAAUGAAGUAAAACUAAGAAACAAAUGCAUAAAUAUAAGAAUGGAAAGCAAAAGCCAUUGAAGAAUGAAGAAGGAACCAUCAGAAACCAAAAGUUAUCCCCAGAAGCAAUGGAAGAUUGCUGUACGGUCCGCAUCAUGGUUCAGGUCACACGACCCCAUCACUUGGUUCCUUCUUUACAAAACACAAACAAACAACACACACAGAUAAGGAUCAAGGACGAUUAGGCUCAGAAGUAUAUGGGUAUGAGAGAUUUAUCAGCACAGGAAAUCAGAGUGGUGCAUGACUUUCUCCAAAUCCUCAUCACUGCCCACCAAAUCAAUAUCCCUUGAGCCUACAAUAUCAUAUAAUUUCACCAAAUCAAAUAAAACCCAAAAAAUAAAAAAGGGAAAGAAAUUGAAGGAG